AUGGGGAUGGGUAGGGUGCUAGGGCAUCGGAUGCCGCCGAUGGCCGUUGGUCCUGUCGCCCGACAACCGUCGUCGCAAGCCGCUCCCCCACCGACUAUCUCAAUCCCCGCCGCCGCAGAUGACAAAGCCGAGGACGAGGCCAUUGGCUCAGUCCAUGGAGGUGGGGGCAGCGCGGAUUAACCCCAACGGCGCGGAGGGCGUGUCGGAUGUCUGCAUCGCGUCGGACGUCUCCGAGGCGCCGGACACAGGCGAAGUCUCGGAGGAGUCGGACGCUGAUGAAGUUUCGGAGGAGUCGGACGCCGCUGAAGCUUCGGAGGAAGCGACCAUGUCGUAUUUUCAGGAUAUCGAGCAGUACCUCCGGUAUCUUGAGGGAAAUGGUGAAAUGUUUGGACACGGCACGAUUCGGCGCUGCUGAGUAAUCAAGGAGGCCAAUAAGUAACUAUGGUCAGGUCAUGCUGAGCAUGGGUAUGAGGGGGCGCAUAGUGAACUGGCUGGUGACUGUGUUUUGCGAUUGAACUUCUGGAUGAUACAGAGUCAGUUCAAUGAGUGCAUUAAUUAGGAUUGGACUGCAUUGUCUGAAGAACGGCCCAGCCAAGAGGCCUACCGCAGGAGAAAUUAUGAACAUGCUAUGCAGAUGCUAAUGCUACUGUUAUGAAAAUGCUUUCUGAUAGACAUGAAUAAUCUUGUUGAAAGCCAACAUCACACUAUACCAAACUUUCUUGAAUUAUAUAAUGGAAUACUGAUAUGUGUUUCAUUGGGUC